rnacentral:tRNA from 1 species
GGUGGCUCAGUGGUAGAGUGCUUGCCUAGCAGGCAUGAAGCCCUGGGUUCGAUUCCUCAGCACCA